UAUGUUUCAUGUUUUGUGUGGAUCCCAGGAAGAGUAGCUGCUGCUUUUGCAACAACUAAUGGGGAUCCUAAUAACAUACCAAAUACCAAAUCUCCAUAUACUGCAGUCGGUUGAUCACAUACCAUAACCAUGAACUCCUGUUGGAUUACGGAAUGCUUCAUGGUCUUUGUAUAUCAUAAGAAUGUCCAAGACAAUUUAUGUAAACUGAUAUUUUUCUAUGGAUAUAUACAUAAACAAUAUAUAUUUCUCUAAAAGUAUAUAACGUGUACAUGUAUAUUUGUAUGUAUAUGUGUAUAAAAUACAUCUAAUUAAGAUUAAUAUGACUAUGGAUUUGACUWUGGACAGUCAAUUCUGCUUUUGUUUUUAUUUAACCAGCAGGGGGCACUUAUCUUACCCUGUCAAAUACCCUAGUUGGAGACUAAAGGAACCAACUGUCUAUUGAUUUACACAUAACGGUCUGUCUUCUUAUUAAUGCUGUCAUAGGUCAGCUGUGCUUUGCAGGUCAGGACUGGGCAUCAUCAGGAGACAGUUGGGACAGUGCCGGGCUGGCCUUCACUGGUUCUGCUGUAAUGGGGCCCAGGCUAGUGUUCGCCCAUAUCUGUGUGCUGAGCCAGUGGGAGGAAAUGCAGCCUUAGUCUAAUGGAAAUUGUGAUGACAUUCACAUAUGACAAUUAUAUCUCAGAUUGUGUUCAUUUGACACUGAUGGUAGGGAAGUGAUGCUAUCCUAUCUUUUAUGGUUCUGACACUGCUGUCUGGGUAUAUGUGAUUGUGUGUAAUAAGACUGGCCAAAAUCAACAUUUUGUAAACCGCAAUUCUUAUYACAAAAGUGUUUUCUGUCUUACCUGUGGUUAGUGCAUUGUUAUUUGUGUCGAACAUAGUGGCUGUAGUGUUUGAGGCAUCGGGGUAGUAGUGUUUGAGGCAUUGUGUCUUAGUGCCUGGGUGAGAGUGUAACUGUGUUCCAGGUGCCAGUUGUAGGUUAUAGGGUGUUGUGGUCUACCGUUGCCAAGCAGGAAGCUGUUGUCUCUUUGUCUUCCUCACAUGGCUCCUCUGCAUUCUGCAGAGCAGUAGGGAUUUUAGGUUUUCAACAGAAUCAUUGGGACAUAACUUAUCUGUGAUCAUGAUCAUGUUUUACUACAUUGUAAAAUCAUACUACAUACUAAAACCACUACUCUUAAAUUAUUUUUUGCAAUUUACUGUAGGCCCAUAUGUAAUUCUUCUUACCCUUGGUAUUAAACAUAUGGUAUUAAACAUUUGGACAUUGUUGUUUCAAAAGUGAUAGUACUUGCCAAAGCAGCAUGUUGAAGUUGAUCUGUUGCCUCACCCAUAACUCAACCCGGUCUCAAGUUACUGAGGUACUAAAUYGGGACAGAUACAGCUCUGAUGUUAAUGGAAGAUAAUAAUACACACCUCCUCCUCAUAGACAUAGAGACAGACAGACCCCAUGAGAAGGUGACAUUUUGAAGACUUUUUGAAAACCGACAAGGAAAGGGAUGAGAACACAGGGGAGUUUGUAUGCAAGAAAGACGGAGGGGAAGAUCGCAAAAUCUAUGUGAAAUGUCGGACCUGUGAUAAAUGCAUUAAGCUGGAUACAGCUACGGCUGUAGGGAUGGUUGUGGGAGUCCUGGUGGCCACUGCCUGAUUGGAGUAGCUGUUUACUGCAUCGCCUCACAGCCCAAAGCAACACUAACCGCCGGCAAGAAAACACCUAGCAAAAUGGGUCUCAUCCACAAUGAGGCCAGUGUCAACAAAAUAACUUGUCCACAAUGAGAUCUGAAACAGCACUCUGCCGGAAAGCAGAUGAAGAGAAUAAUAAAAUGUGCUCAGUGCUACGUUACUUUUACCCCCCUCAGAAUAAUAGUUGUUAACAUGAG